UUAAAGGAAGGAAGCGAGAAAAACAAGAAAAAAGAAAAAAGGGAAA
rnacentral:ribozyme from 1 species